rnacentral:sRNA from 13 species
AUUAGAACUAAAUUUCAUAGGAACAGAUUAUAACUUGUAUCUAUGAACAUUCUAACCCUAUUCUCGGAAAGAUUCUUAGAAAUCUAGAUUGAUCAUUUCAGAUCAACACAGGCAUAAUCUAGACUCUAGACAUACUUUGACACCACUGAUAGACAUUAGGAGGCGCUGUGUCUGAGCGGUAAAGCGUUUGUCUUUCGACCGAGGUUCGAAUUCUUGUGAAGGUUUUAUCUCAAUGGAAAUAACAAAGCAUAGUAAGUUUUAUUCACUUUUGUUUCAACUUUUCUCAAAGGAAUAUACUGAUUUAAAACCGUAUACUAGGUUUAAGGCCUAAUUAUUUAACAUUUUAUUAGCUGUGUGCCCACCAUUUUUAUGUCAGUUUCCUUUGUUCAUGCUUUGCUUUAAAAAAUGUAUAUAUUAAAAUGACUUCCCCGAUGGCUUAAUAUAUAUGUUUGCCAAGGUAGUAAGGAUUGGCAUAAGAAACAAUGGCUCUGCAUCAGUGAGGCAAUGAUAUAUUCUGAAGAGUACCAUAAUCUUGAAGCAAUUUCUAGAUACUGUUAAACUAUUAUAUCAUCUGUUUUCAAUU